UCCAGCAUGGUCUAAUGGUAGGACACUGCACUCUGAAUGCAGGAGUCAGGGUUCAAUUCCCUGUGCUGGAA
rnacentral:tRNA from 1 species